rnacentral:rRNA from 1 species
UGCCAGCCGCCGCGGUAAUACGGAGGGGGCAAGCGUUGUUCGGAAUCACUGGGCGUAAAGGGUGUGCAGGCGGUAGGUUAAGUCUGAUGUGAAAGCCCCGGGCUCAACUCGGGAAUUGCAUUGGAAACUGGCCGACUAGAGUAUCGGAGAGGGAAGCGGAAUUCCCAAUGUAGCGGUGAAAUGCGUAGAUAUUGGGAGGAACACCAGUGGCGAAGGCGGCUUCCUGGGCCAAUACUGACGCUGAGGCGCGAAAGCGUGGGUAGCAAACAGGAUUAGAUA